CCACCUGUGUCAUCAGGUGAAUCUACGAGCAUGAAUAAAGAGCUGCUCGGACAAUGUAACGAAGGUAGUGCUGCUACCGGGGAGUAGAUCGUGAGAAAUACUCUCUCCUGAAAGCCUUAUUCGGGUGAGUGC
rfam:Osedax symbiont Rs1 5221_96, whole genome shotgun sequence.